rnacentral:rRNA from 1 species
CACCGCGGUUAUACGAGGGGCCCAAGUCGACAAAAUCCGGCGUAAAGGGUGGUUAAUAAUCAACACGCUAAAGCCGAACGUCUUCAAAGCUGUCAUACGCCCCGAAGAUAGGAAGCUCUCUCACGAAAGUAGCUUUAAAUUUAUGACCCCACGAAAACUAGGACA